GAUGAACGCUGGCGGCGUGCCUAAUACAUGCAAGUCGAGCGAACAGACGAGGAGCUUGCUCCUCUGACGUUAGCGGCGGACGGGUGAGUAACACGUGGAUAACCUACCUAUAAGACUGGGAUAACUUCGGGAAACCGGAGCUAAUACCGGAUAAUAUAUUGAACCGCAUGGUUCAAUAGUGAAAGACGGUUUUGCUGUCACUUAUAGAUGGAUCCGCGCCGCAUUAGCUAGUUGGUAAGGUAACGGCUUACCAAGGCGACGAUGCGUAGCCGACCUGAGAGGGUGAUCGGCCACACUGGAACUGAGACACGGUCCAGACUCCUACGGGAGGUAGCAGUAGGGAAUCUUCCGCAAUGGGCGAAAGCCUGACGGAGCAACGCCGCGUGAGUGAUGAAGGUCUUCGGAUCGUAAAACUCUGUUAUUAGGGAAGAACAAAUGUGUAAGUAACUAUGCACGUCUUGACGGUACCUAAUCAGAAAGCCACGGCUAACUACGU
rnacentral:rRNA from 1 species